GGCUAAGGAUAAUUCUUUUAUGAUCAUGAUAUAAACAGUGCAUCAAUAAUGUAAGAGGGUGAAGUUACCUGCAAAUUAACAGGUGUUUAAUUAAUUCAUAUUUUCAUGAAAUUUGCACAGAAAUGAAGUUACCUAUAAACAAGGUUAAUGCUCUUUAUGAUCUUGUGAUAUUAUGAAGUUACCUGAUAUUCGUGUUUACUUGUCAGCUUAAUGUUCAAAGUUCUUCCCUGCAAGGAAAUAGUCUUUUUAAGUUUUCAUUGCUUAGAAGUUCUUUUUAUUCUUUUUCUUAAGUACCUGUCGACUUAUUGCUAAGUUAUACAAAUGUUGAU
rnacentral:misc_RNA from 1 species